rfam:Pongo abelii chromosome 5.
AUCCUUUUGUAGUUCAUAAACAGGAUGAUAGGGUUUUCACAUUUACUGUGAGAUGUGCUUCCCUCCAACCUUGUUAUAAUGUUGAUGCAUUACCCAUCUAAUG